AGCCGGCAAUGCUCAUGGGAUUUAUUGUGCUCCAUUAUAUGAUACCCUUGGUGUUGAAAGCAUUUCCUAAUGCAACCAAAUUCUUGAAAACAAUUGUGAGCUUCAGAAGUAACUUCUCUAUGAAUUUGUUAUUGCAACGAUUGUUCCCAUACUUCUUCUCUAUGAAGUGGCUAUAAGUACAUGCCUUAUCAACUUUUGGCUUGCCACGUCACGAUGGAGGUGAGUUU